AGUGGGGGAUAUCGUAGCGAAAGUUACGCUAAUACCGCAUAUGCCCUGAGGGGGAAAGGGGGGGAUCGCAAGACCUUUCGCUUUCGGAGUGGCCGAUAUCAGAUUAGCUAGUUGGUGGGGUAAAGGCUCACCAAGGCGACGAUCUGUAGCUGGUCUGAGAGGACGACCAGCCACACUGGGACUGAGACACGGCCCAGACUCCUACGGGAGGCAGCAGUGGGGAAUUUUGGACAAUGGGGGCAACCCUGAUCCAGCCAUGCCGCGUGAGUGAAGAAGGCCUUCGGGUUGUAAAGCUCUUUCUGACGGAAAGAAAUCGCGCUUGCUAAUACCCGGGGUGGAUGACGGUACCGUAAGAAGAAGCACCGGCUAACUACGUGCCAGCAGCCGCGGUAAUACGUAGGGUGCGAGCGUUAAUCGGAAUUACUGGGCGUAAAGCGUGCGCAGGCGGUUUUGUAAGACAGACGUGAAAUCCCCGGGCUUAACCUGGGAACUGCGUUUGUGACUGCAAGGCUAGAGUGUGGCAGAGGGGGGUAGAAUUCCA
rnacentral:rRNA from 1 species